UUGAUGUGAAACAUCUAUAGGCGCACCCCUAAACUGAAUCGUUGGCCUGGCGAUACUUGCCGUGGCGAGCAUUCGCCAGGCUAUACUAAGGUAUGCCUAUCUAUAUUCUGUGUAGUAGAGUGUACGGCGUGGCUUCUCACUCAGUUCGACGUUGUUGUUUACUACGGUACACAUAACCUGCGUUUUAUUUAAUUUUUCAUUUUAAUUUUUGACAAUAAAAUAUGUGUGACAGUGAUAACUCAGAAGAUCAAAGUGAUCAACCUUGUGCAAAGAAAGUGAAACUACACUAUGGUAUACUACCAAGUCAUCAUUCCCAACAAUCAUCAGAAGGAUCACAAAAUAUUAUUAUUGAAACUGGACGUCACCCUGAUCAGUUAAACACAAGGCAUACUAUCAAUGUUGUGUCAGACUUUAUUAAUCGAAUAGUACCAGACUAUUUUAAACUAUUGCAUCUAUUGGAAAUGUGUGUUCUUCACAUGUUAAACUACAAGACGGAAGUGAAUUAAUUAUGAUUGUAAUAUACAUUUCACCUAAUAACAAAAUGGAUCAUCUCAUUUCAUUUUUACAUGAAAGGUUAUUUCCUUAUAGUCAAACAGGUUCAAUAAUUCUUAAAGCGAAUAAACAUAAACUACCAUUAUUUUUAGCUGCAUAUUUCAGUGUAAAUUUUGCAAGAGCUGAAUCAAUGCCAUUAAUGACAUUUCUUCAAAAAGAAUUUCAAUGGCAAAUCAAUAACGAUCCAAAAGAAUCUACUACCAAAUAUGGAACAACAAUAGAUGCUGUAUUUGUGAGAUAUCUUGAUGGUGUUUCAUCCAAUACUUUUGUAACGUACUUUAGUUAUCAUCGACCAAUCGUCACAGUAAUACCGGCAGAGGAAAAAUCGAAUAUAACUAUUAUUGAAGCCACAGAUGAAAAUAUUUAAAUUGUGGCAACUUGAUACUAAUAUCGAAUUUUUAUAUCAUGUAAAUAAAUGUUUAUUAAAUAAAGUUACCAUUUACUGUAAGAAUCUCGUAAUACUUCAUUUUUUCAUUAGGCUAUAUUUAAUUCCUGUAAUAAUAUUAUCUUUUAUGCAUAUUACUUGUACACACACGAUGUUUCACAUCUGCCAGGCGUCCCAUGACGGCUCAUUUUUGAUGUGAAACAUCUAUAGGCGCACCCCUAAACUGAAUCGUUGGCCUGGCGAUACUUGCCGUGGCGAGCAUUCGCCAGGCUAUACUAAGGUAUGCCUAUCUAUAUUCUGUGUAGUAGAGUGUACGGCGUGGCUUCUCACUCAGUUCGACGUUGUUGUUUACUACGGUACACAUAACCUGCGUUUUAUUUAAUUUUUCAUUUUAAUUUUUGACAAUAAAAUAUGUGUGACAGUGAUAACUCAGAAGAUCAAAGUGAUCAACCUUGUGCAAAGAAAGUGAAACUACACUAUGGUAUACUACCAAGUCAUCAUUCCCAACAAUCAUCAGAAGGAUCACAAAAUAUUAUUAUUGAAACUGGACGUCACCCUGAUCAGUUAAACACAAGGCAUACUAUCAAUGUUGUGUCAGACUUUAUUAAUCGAAUAGUACCAGACUAUUUUAAACUAUUGCAUCUAUUGGAAAUGUGUGUUCUUCACAUGUUAAACUACAAGACGGAAGUGAAUUAAUUAUGAUUGUAAUAUACAUUUCACCUAAUAACAAAAUGGAUCAUCUCAUUUCAUUUUUACAUGAAAGGUUAUUUCCUUAUAGUCAAACAGGUUCAAUAAUUCUUAAAGCGAAUAAACAUAAACUACCAUUAUUUUUAGCUGCAUAUUUCAGUGUAAAUUUUGCAAGAGCUGAAUCAAUGCCAUUAAUGACAUUUCUUCAAAAAGAAUUUCAAUGGCAAAUCAAUAACGAUCCAAAAGAAUCUACUACCAAAUAUGGAACAACAAUAGAUGCUGUAUUUGUGAGAUAUCUUGAUGGUGUUUCAUCCAAUACUUUUGUAACGUACUUUAGUUAUCAUCGACCAAUCGUCACAGUAAUACCGGCAGAGGAAAAAUCGAAUAUAACUAUUAUUGAAGCCACAGAUGAAAAUAUUUAAAUUGUGGCAACUUGAUACUAAUAUCGAAUUUUUAUAUCAUGUAAAUAAAUGUUUAUUAAAUAAAGUUACCAUUUACUGUAAGAA